UACGUAGGGAGCAAGCGUUGUCCGGAAUCAUUGGGCGUAAAGCGCGCGUAGGCGGCCCGAUAAGUCCGCUGUGAAAGUCAACGGCUCAACUGUUGGAUGCCGGUGGAUACUGUCGGGCUAGAGUACGGAAGAGGCAAGUGGAAUUCCUGGUGUAGCGGUGGAAUGCGCAGAUAUCAGGAGGAACACCUAUAGCGAAGGCAGCUUGCUGGGACGUUACUGACGCUAAGGCGCGAAAGCGUGGGGAGCGAACAGG
rnacentral:rRNA from 2 species